AGCGGCGGACGGGUGAGUAACACGUGGGCAACCUGCCUGUAAGACUGGGAUAACUCCGGGAAACCGGAGCUAAUACCGGAUAGUAUCUUGAACCGCAUGGUUCAAGUUGGAAAGACGGUUUCGGCUGUCACUUACAGAUGGGCCCGCGGCGCAUUAGCUAGUUGGUGAGGUAAUGGCUCACCAAGGCAACGAUGCGUAGCCGACCUGAGAGGGUGAUCGGCCACACUGGGACUGAGACACGGCCCAGACUCCUACGGGAGGCAGCAGUAGGGAAUCUUCCGCAAUGGACGAAAGUCUGACGGAGCAACGCCGCGUGAGUGAUGAAGGUUUUCGGAUCGUAAAACUCUGUUGUUAGGGAAGAACAAGUGCGAGAGUAACUGCUCGCACCUUGACGGUACCUAACCAGAAAGCCACGGCUAACUACGUGCCAGCAGCCGCGGUAAUACGUAGGUGGCAAGCGUUGUCCGGAAUUAUUGGGCGUAAAGCGCGCGCAGGCGGUUUCUUAAGUCUGAUGUGAAAGCCCCCGGCUCAACCGGGGAGGGUCAUUGGAAACUGGGAAACUUGAGUGCAGAAGAGGAGAGUGGAAUUCCACGUGUAGCGGUGAAAUGCGUAGAGAUGUGGAGGAACACCAGUGGCGAAGGCGACUCUCUGGUCUGUAACUGACGCUGAGGCGCGAAAGCGUGGGGAGCGAACAGGAUUAGAUACCCUGGUAGUCCACGCCGUAAACGAUGAGUGCUAAGUGUUAGAGGGUUUCCGCCCUUUAGUGCUGCAGCUAACGCAUUAAGCACUCCGCCUGGGGAGUACGGUCGCAAGACUGAAACUCAAAGGAAUUGACGGGGGCCCGCACAAGCGGUGGAGCAUGUGGUUUAAUUCGAAGCAACGCGAAGAACCUUACCAGGUCUUGACAUCCUUUGCCACUUCUAGAGAUAGAAGGUUCCCCUUCGGGGGACAAAGUGACAGGUGGUGCAUGGUUGUCGUCAGCUCGUGUCGUGAGAUGUUGGGUUAAGUCCCGCAACGAGCGCAACCCUUGAUCUUAGUUGCCAGCAUUCA
rnacentral:rRNA from 2 species